CCCAUUCAUUUCCCUCAAACCUAAAUCUAACAUUUUCCCUCACGUUCUCCCACCGCUCACUCUUUUUCCCUCUCCCUCACGGCACUAUCACUCUCACUCUUGCAGGUGGAUUGAUGGGGAGGUCGGAGGGGCGUAGUGAUGGCUCGGCGACACGACGACGGGCUACAGCGGGGAGGCUCCGCAACGUGAUGAACGUCUGCUUAGAGGCUCGGUGACUGGACGAUGGGCUUCUACAAACGAUAGCAACGACUUUGACGACGAUGGCAUUGGAUUAGACGACAACAAAAACUUCGACGAAGGGCAUGAACGCACCAAGGUUUUGUUUUUCUGUUUUCUUCUGAUUUUAAUUUGUUUCUUUGUAGAUUUGUUCAAGUUCGGUUUCAAUGCAGACAAAAAAGGUUGUUAAUGAACUUUUCUUUGAGGUAAACCUGGACAAGUAUCUAAUAAUUUGCAAUCUUUAAAGAGCUCUACCACGAACGAUGAUGAAGAUUGGCCUCGAUUAUCUCAAUUGCAUGCAAGAAGCAGGUGACUACUAUAUAAUAGGCAGGUGACUACAAAACAAUUGGAUUGUUUAUUCCUUUCUAAGUUAGUAGGCAAGGGAAUGUAUGCUCUUAAAAAGAAAGAAAAAUGAAGACAAUAUGACAUUUUCAAGAAAGCAUGACAAAGAGUUGGCAUUUAUAAAAAGCGUCAUUUGGGCCCAAGCCCAACAGCUCCUCCAACAAUCUCCUCUCCAGUUGGCCUAUCCAUCAGCUGCAUAAAUUAAGUGCUACCAGCACCUCACAAUUCAGCAAUUCCCAGCUCCUUCAGCAAAUCACGCCACCUGUCCCAUUCUCCUCAACACUCAGCAUCCCCAACGCCUGGCUCUUCAUCAACAAACCAGCCAUUACAUGAUGCACCACAUCACCCAGCGGCCCAUGGCCCAACAUUCAUUCAGCUGUUGCCAGCCCACCCGUCGUGGCCCAAUUUCCCUCCAAGGCCCAACGCUCCCAUGCCAAGACAACCAAGCUGCCAAAAGGCCAAAAACCACAUUUUUAUUCCCAAUAUUUUUUUUACCUAAAUAAACAUUCUUAAUUCAUUUUUUUUACCCUACCUUUUCACUAAUAUUUUACCUAACCAAACAUUUCAUCUUUCCAAUACUCUUAUACAUACUUUAUUUAUUCUACCACUUCCCAACACAAUUAAAUUAAUCUAUUUAUUUAUUUUAAUUUGAUUAAUUUAAUCUCUA